UACGAAGGGGGCGAGCGUUGUUCGGAUUUACUGGGCGUAAAGGGCGCGCAGGCGGCGAUUUUUGUCAGGCGUGAAAGCCCCGGGCUCAACCUGGGAACUACGUUUGAUACGGGAUUGCUAGAGAUCGGGAGAGGAGAGUGGAAUUCCCAGUGUAGAGGUGAAAUUCGUAGAUAUUGGGAAGAACACCAGUGGCGAAGGCGGCUCUCUGGACCGAUACUGACGCUGAGGCGCGAAAGCGUGGGGAGCAAACAGG
rnacentral:rRNA from 1 species